rnacentral:lncRNA from 1 species
GGCUUGAGGUGGCUUCCGGCCGCCAGGCGAGACUCCGCGGGAAAACUCCCUGCUAGAGAGACUAGGAGAUUUGGGGCUGCGGCCGUUUCCUCCGGAGCACCCACGGGACUGUGUGCUGGGGUCCCUCCACCGGCUGUGUCCUUUAUUCUUCUUUCUCACCCAACGAUUUACCUGAACGGUUAUAAAGUGCACGUUAUUUCCCUAAGCACUUUGAGUAUAUUGGCCCACUGCAUUCUGGACUUCAAAAUUUCUGAUGCGAAAUAUGCUGAUACUUUUGUUGAAGAAAUCUGGGCUUUGAGCAUCUGUAAGAUAUUUGUUGGAAGGUUUUGUCUGGUCCUUCUUACUGAUGUGUUGCUCUUCUUCAUGGCUCGUGAAAACUAUUAGAGUCAUCCAAGGGUGGGAAGAGAGAUCAGCAACGUUAACUGGGUGUCAAGAAAACAUACCGAGAUUGAAGCCAUCCACUUCUGCAGGAACACCGAAAAGAAAGGUACAACGCUUGGGGAAAGACUGGAUUUCAUUAGGGACAGUGACAAUACCUGUUUGACAUAGAGGUUCCAGCGCUGGCCAGGGAACUCCCUGAGCACUAGUAAUGCCAGUGUCAGUUGUAGAAUUCUUUUAAAAUUUGAGUUAAUAGGGUCACUACUUUUUGAAUGCCUGCUGCAGAAACUAAGAAAAAUGGCUGGCUGAGCCAAUAGAAGAGGAUUUUGUAGCUCAACUCCUGGGGAAGAAAAUACUCCUUUUGACGGAGGGCAGGUGCUGUAGACCUUGCAAGGACAUAGCCAGUCUGCAAUGUCAUCUAGGCCCACCCGCUAAAGUUUUAAAAGUAAAGUAAAGUAUUUAUUAGCUGUGGCUAUAAAUUAGAGAUGAAUGGAAGGUCUUCAGGCCUGAUCUUGGAGGCAUUCCUUAUUAAUGAAGUUCAAGCAUUUGCUGUGGUAGGGGAGGGUUUUUGUAAGAGGACUGAAUCAUCUCUUGUAUGCAGACAUUACUGAUACUGCUGUUGUGCAGACUGGGCCUCUCAAAUUCUGCUCUAACAGAGGUUUAGAAAAGUCUUUUGCUAGGACAGGUAAAUGUAGUCAGUUAUCCAUUAGUUCAACUUACCGUUCAUAUCUUUCUGUCAUAAACACUAGAUCCAAUUCCCAUUUCAAAAAAGUUGAACCUACCUUUCUCAUGGCUAUCAAUCAGUAAAACUUUUUUGCCUGCAAUUGUGUCAAGCAUCAAAAACUUUCAUAUAAAUAUUUGAAUUAAAAAUCUAGUUGCUAUUAGGGCACUCUAGGGCCAAAUAUCGUCCAAGAUAUCAGACUCACCCCUCCCAAUGAAGAAACGCAGACGGCAUCAUGGCCCAAACUUCUGACAUUCAUGAGCCCCAGGAGAUGGGAAAUACAAGCGUCUUUAGAAACAC